CCAGCAGCUGCCCCGCAUGGGAGACUGCAGCUCCUGCACUGGUACUCACAGCCCCGUGCAACUGGGACAUGGCCAGCUCCUGGAUGGCAUCACGGCCUGGGAGGUGGCAGAGGUUCUUGGGCUGCCGUGGGGUUUGGCAGCGAGUCAACCUGGGUUUAGCCCCUGAUUUUCAAGGUUGAGGAGGGCCAACAGGCAGAACCACUUCCCCCCCAGCUCCUGCCUGGCUCUCUUCUGUGGCCCCUCUGCACCUCAUGGCAGGGUUCGUUCUUCCAGGUGUACUUUUGUGGCUGGCUGACUCUUUAAAAAUCCAGAGCUGGAAGGAAACUUGAAGCAUUAUCCAGACACUGAACGGGCGGUGGAAAUUCUAAGCAGAUACCAGAGCACCCUGCAGUCCCCGGAGGAGCAGGAGCUGAAAGCCUCCAUUGGAAAAGUCUCGCACAUCUUUCAAAGUGAACUCUUCCAGGCUCUGCUGGAUAUUCAUGAAUUCUACGAUCUCACGCUGCGCUCUGCGCCCCUGCAGCCUCCCAGCCCGGAGGCACGUGGUGGCACAGCCAGGCAGCGGCGUGGGGCCGGCGAGCCCGGCUCUGCCAUCGCACCCAGAGAGCCCCAAAACCUCCCCGAGGGUCCAUGCCGGGAGGGUGAGCGGAGGCUCGGCCCGGGGGCUGGGGACGGCACGCCGGGGACGCCGCCGCGGCUGGUGAGGGUGACGGCCCGCAGGACGGAGGCACCGGCCAGCGUCUGCAGCCUGGUGCUCGGCUCUCGCAGCGCCCUGCCCCAGGUGAGCCUCCGUGCGCCCCACACCACCUCCCACCCCGACAGCCCCGCCGGCGCCUGGCACUGAGGGGGCAACAGCCGGACCCAUAGCACCAACCGGGACAGUGCCAGGGAGGUGUUUUCCUCCCCUGAGGGCUGGCAGU